rnacentral:rRNA from 1 species
UGUCUCCUACGGGACGCAGCAGUAGGGAAUCUUCCACAAUGGACGAAAGUCUGAUGGAGCAACGCCGCGUGAGUGAAGAAGUAUCUCGGUAUGUAAAGCUCUAUCAGCAGGGAAGAAAAUGACGGUACCUGACUAAGAAGCCCCGGCUAACUACGUGCCAGCAGCCGCGGUAAUACGUAGGGGGCAAGCGUUAUCCGGAUUUACUGGGUGUAAAGGGAGCGUAGACGGUGUGGCAAGUCUGAAGUGAAAGCCCGGGGCUCAACCCCGGGACUGCUUUGGAAACUGUCAUGCUGGAGUGCUGGAGG